rnacentral:rRNA from 1 species
AUGGUUGGUCCGUUUAAACCAUCUCAAGAUAAGAAGACUCACCUGUUGGUCGAUGUCGAUAAGUUUACCAAAUGGGUUGAAGCAGAGCCUAACAAUAACUGUGAUGCAGCUACAGCAGUCAAGUUUUUGAAGAAGUUGAUUUUUAGAUUUGGCUUUCCACACAACAUCAUUACUGAUAAUAGAACAAACCUUUCCAAGGGAGCCAUGGCACAGUUUUGUCAAAGAGAGCACAUCCGGCUCGAUGUGGCGUCUGUUGCGCACCCUCAGUCCAAUGGUCAAGAUGAAUGCGCCAACCAAGAGAUACUACGAGGCAUCAAACCUCGACUCCUGGUUCCUCUCCAGCGCACGUCGGUUGUUGGGUCGAAGUGCUUCCUUCUGUAUUAUGGAGCAUAG